rnacentral:rRNA from 1 species
UACGUAGGGUGCGAGCGUUGUCCGGAAUUAUUGGGCGUAAAGAGCUUGUAGGCGGUUUGUCGCGUCUGCCGUGAAAAUUCGAGGCUCAACCUCGAACUUGCGGUGGGUACGGGCAGACUAGAGUGUGGUAGGGGAGACUGGAAUUCCUGGUGUAGCGGUGAAAUGCGCAGAUAUCAGGAGGAACACCGGUGGCGAAGGCGGGUCUCUGGGCCGGUACUGACACUGAGGAGCGAAAGCGUGGGGAGCGAACAGG